UACGGAGGGGGCUAGCGUUGUUCGGAAUUACUGGGCGUAAAGCGCACGUAGGCGGCUUUGUAAGUUAGAGGUGAAAGCCCGGGGCUCAACUCCGGAAUUGCCUUUAAGACUGCAUCGCUAGAAUUGUGGAGAGGUAAGUGGAAUUCCGAGUGUAGAGGUGAAAUUCGUAGAUAUUCGGAAGAACACCAGUGGCGAAAGCGACUUCCUGGACCAAUACUGACGCUCAUGUGCGAAAGCGUGGGGAGCAAACAGG
rnacentral:rRNA from 1 species